rnacentral:rRNA from 1 species
CAGCAGCCGCGGGAAAACGUAGGGUGCAAGCGUUGAUCGGAAUUACUGGGCGUAAAGCGUGCGCAGGCGGUUUGUUAAGACAGAUGUGAAAUCCCCGGGCUCAACCUGGGAACUGCAUUUGUGACUGGCAAGCUAGAGUGUGGCAGAGGGGGGUGGAAUUCCGCGUGUAGCAGUGAAAUGCGUAGAUAUGCGGAGGAACACCGAUGGCGAAGGCAGCCCCCCGGGCCAACACUGACGCUCAUGCACGAAAGCGUGGGGAGCAAACAGGAUUAGAUACCCCCGUAGUCCCUGUCUCUUAUAC